rnacentral:lncRNA from 10 species
AGUAUAAAUAAUUAUCCUUUUUAUUUGAUGAUGAUGAUGAUGAUGAUGAUGAUGAUGAUGAUGGAGCUAUGCUGCUGUACUUGGACACCUUAUGGUAAAACAAUAAGAAUUCCAAACGGUAUUUGAUAAAUUAUUUACGAUACCCUCCAUGCACAAGAAAUCAAUACGAAUCAUGGGUUCCCUUUUUUACAAAAGCAUGUAAGUCCUGGUGAUGUUUUAUGACUUACUCGUGGUACAUGCUCUACAGAUCAGUAACAACCAGUAAAGCAACUUGGCAGCUGUAUAACUACUUGCAGAUUCCUAAACAUACCAAACCCAGUGGCAGGCAUGGUAAUAAAUCAUUGAGAGUUAAGAACAUUUUUUUCUUAAAACAUUCCCAAAUGGAAUUUUCCUUAAAUGUAAACUUUUUUAAAAAAGAAAAAGAAACAGUUAUAAAGAAGAAAGUCUAAUCUCAAACAAUAGUUUUAUUUAUUUCAGUAUAUUUUUCAAAUAAUCUAUAUAUAUGUGCAGUCGUUUAAAUAAUAUAUACCCACACACAACAAAACAAAUCAUAAGUUCAAGCUGUAGACAGUGAAAACAUGUCUUAGUCAUAUCCCUUCCCUGUCUCUCUUUUUAUUCCAAAGUGAACCAGUUACUGGUUUCUUGACUGAUAGUUAAGACCUGUGUUUGUGCAUUUACACAUUUUUCCAUGUUUAAAAGAUUGAAAUUCUUUCUAGUUUCAACUCAAGAUUUCCAGCUACUGAAAGAAGGUUGCUAUUAGAAUAAUAUCUAUUUUCUUUUUAAAGAAAACCACAAAUUCUGAGUCACUAUCGGUCCUAACCAGUUAUUUCCCCUUAAAAGAGAAACAAAUUUGUUUUAGUCAAAACUGGCAAUACAUGUGAGAAACACAUAAAUAUUUAAAGAAACAGCAAAUCUGCAAAGUAAAAAUACUGAUAUUGGCUGAACUCUCAAGUAUAUCUUAUGUACAACAUUUGAUGCCUUUUUAAAAGUUAUUCUGGAAAGUCUCUUAUAGAGGCCUAUUUAUGAAGUAAAUUUUAAUGCUUCAUUUUGGAAAUACCUAAUGUGCUCAACUUCUAUGAAAAAGGAAACUAUUGUUAACAGUGUUGGAAUAUUAUUUGAAGGAUAAAAUAAAGUAAAAUACAAAGAUAAUUUCAUCUUUCACUUCAGGAAGUGCUCUGAUUACUUGUGAACUGUUUUAGUUUUCAAAUCUAAUGUAAAUCCGCAGGCAAAAUAGAAUAUUUAUAGAAAAUAACAAAGAGGGAGUCAUGUUUGUUUUUAUUAUCUGCUAAUGAUAAAUAUUUAGGAUCAAGAAUUUAUUCAGUGAAUAACUUGCUUAGGCAUAUAACUGCAUUUUGGAAAAUAUAGGGCUUAGGAAACUCCUAGAAAAGUACAAAUAAUUAAUUGAAAAUCGCGUCUACAUCCAAUCACAGGGAUAAAUGGAUCUUAGGAAAAUUGUAGUUCCCGUGGUCAGGAUGUUUUUCAUGAUGGUGGCAGUUGGCCUCUUGGGAAUCUGAGAGAUUGUCCAAAAGCUGACUAACAGGAAGACAGAAGUGUAACUGCAGCACAAACAGACAGGAAACAGCUAUGUUAAGAAAACAUUUGGUAAGGGCUACCACAUAGACUUUGUUCAAUGCGCUUCCAGGUCAUUAUUCACAGAAGUUUUCCAAAUUUUUAUUCUAUUUCUCCUAUUGUAAUUACCAUUUCCCCUUGUAAAUAAUGUUCCUCUUAUUAUUUUUAACAGCCAUAUCAUUUCAAUGGUGUGGGCUGUAACACAUUUCUUUCACCAUUUUCUUAGUGUUGUUUUCUUCUUAUUGAAAACUGCAGUGAUAUUUUGAAUGCAGCUAUGUCAUGCCAAGAGUAAAAAAGUAAGUGAAAUUACUGGAUUAAAAUGUACAAACUUUUAAAUGGUUCUUAAUGCAUAAUUAGAUUUUCUUUCCAUGCAGGUUUUUUCUACUUACCUUACCACCAGCAGUGUACCAGGUUUACCAUCAACUCCCUAAUAUUGACUGUAAUCAAAUACAGUUAGUUUUGGCCAGGUGCAGUGGCUUGUGCCUGUAAUCCCAGCACUUUGGGAGGUUAAGAUGGGUGGAUCACCUGAGGUUGGGAGUUCAAGACCAGCCUGGCCAACAUGGAGAAACCCCAUCUCUACUAAAAAUAUUUUUAUUGGCCCGCACCUGUAAUCCCAGCUACUCAGGAGGCUGAGGCUGGAGAAUUGCUUGAACCCAGGAGAAAGAGGUUGCAGUGAGCCGAGAUUGCGCCACUGUACACAUGUAUGUCCAGUUACUUUUUGACAUAUAUGCCAAUAGAAUUCAAUGGGGUAGGAAAAAACUUUUCAACAAAUGAUCGUGUAACCACUGGUUAUCCUUAUGUUUAAAAAAAAAAAAAAAUCCAAUACCACUGCCCUCCAGCCUGGGCCACAGAGCUAGACUCCUUCUGAAACAAAACAAAACAAAACAAAACAAAACAAAACAAAACAAAACAAAAAAAACGAAAACAAAACAAAAGCAAAAACAACAAAAAAAAUACAUUCGGCUUUUACCUUGAUGGAAAAAUGAUGCAUCUUUUUAAUAUAAGUUUUUUUCCCUAUGGAAAUUAUCAACUUUGUAAACAAUUUUUUUAAAAAUCUGUGUGUUAACAACUAAGAUCUUAAUUAUUUUCUAAUAAAUUCUUUAUAAAAUGUAACUAUUGACAUUUGUGUUCAUGGUAGUUUAUGAACACAUUUUUCUCAUGCCUUUUUAAAUUAUAUUUUUCCCUGAUAGAAGUUUGACAUUUUUAUUUAUUAUAAUUGAAUAACCUUUUAGUUUGUAAUUUUCUUUAUCAUUUUAGGCCCAGAAAGAUUUUUAUUGCUAGAGAUUAACUAAAUAUUCAAUCAGAUUAUUUUGAGUAGGUUUUUAAAAUUAGUUUUAUACACUUUGGGAGGCCGAGGCAGGCAGAUCACCAGGUCAGGAGAUCGAGACCAUCCUGGCUAACACAGUGAAACCUCGUCUCUACUAAAAAUGCAAAAAAUAAGCCAGGCGUGGUGGUGGGCGCCUGUAGUCCCAGCUACUCGGGAGGCUGAGGCAAGAGAAGGGCAUGAACCUGGGAGGCAGAGCUUGCAGUGAGCCAAGAUCUUGCCACUGCACUCCAGCCUGGGCGACAGAGCGAGACUCCGUCUCAAAAAAUAAUAAUACUAAUGAUAAUUUUAUAUAAUAAAUUGUUAAAAAUUGCUAAUAUUAAUUUUGUUUUGGUGUAAUCUGUGAAUCAAUCUUCCUCAAAAUUUACGCAAUUAUAAUUAAAUUAAAAGUUAGUAAAUAACUUUUUGUUGCCCAUUGUUUAGAAUGCUUACUUUAUCAUAAAUCAAAUAACACAUAAUAAAAUUAUUUUCAUAAUUAUUUCCUAAAAUUUUUUGUGACUCAUUGGUACCUAUGUGUGAUAAUAUUCUGAAGUUUUAAUUAUUUUGCUUUAUAAUCAGUUGUAACAUGUGCAAAAUCUUUUCAUCCUAAGAAGGUUUUCACAGAGCAAGGUUUUAAUUUUGAUGAAAUCCAAUUUAUCAAAAUUUUCUUUUAUGGUUUGUGAUGUUAGCAUCAAGUCUGAGAACUCUGUCUAAUCUUAGAUCCUAAAUAUUUUCUCCUACAUUUUUCCAAAAAAUUUGGUUUUACAUUUUGUGCUUAAGUCUGUGAUCCAUGUUGAGUUAAUUUGUGUACUGGGUGUGAGACUUAAGUUUAUUUUUUGCAAAUCAAUGUUCAAUUACUGCAAUCUUUUUUUGCUGAAAAGACUUUCCUUCAUUGAAUUGCAUUUUCGCCUUUUUCAAAAUGUAGUUAGAAAUAUUUGUGUGGAUCUAUUUUUGAGUCUCUACUUUGUUACAUCAGUGUGUCUGUCCCUCACUCAACAUGACAGUUUCAAUUACUGUAGCUAUGUUUCCAAAUUGUUUUAGCAAUUCUUGUUUCUUAGCUUUUCUAUAUAAAUUUUAUAGUAACUUUGUCUACAUCUAAGAAAAUUCUUUUUUGAUUCGGAUAGGAAUUUUGUUAAAUUUGUGGAAGACAUACAUUCUGUACAUAUUUUCUUAAAUUUAAGCCUAAGUAUCACAUUCUUUGAGCCUUUGUAAAAGGUAUUGUAUUUUUUAUUUUGGUUUUCACAUGAACAUUGCUAGAAUAUUAAAUUAUGAUUGAUUUUUGCAUUUCAAUCUUAUAGCCUCUGACCUACUAAACUCACUUAUUAGUUCUAAAAGAUUUUAUGUAGAUUCCUUGGUGUGUUCUAUAUAGACAAUAUGUCAUUUGCAAAUAUACGGAUUUAUUCCUUCCUUUCUGACCUGUAUGUCUUUUAUUUCCUUUUCUUUCCUUAUUACUGUAGCUAGAACCUGCAGCACUAUAUUAAGUAAAAGUGGUAAGAAUACAAAUCCUUGCUUUGUCUUCAACCUUAGAGUAAAGCAGUCUUUCACCAAGAAGCAUAAUAUUAGCUAUAAGUAUUAUAUACAUGACUUCAUCACAUUAAGGAAGUUUCCCUCUAUUCUUAACUUGCUGAGCAUUUUUCUCAUGAGUAUGUUUUGAAUUUUUUUAGUUUUUUUACAUAAAUUGAAAUGAUCAUGUGAGUUUUCUUCUUUAGUUUGUUAAUAUGGCAGAGUACAGUGAUUUUUUAAUUUAAACCAGCUUUGCAUUCCUGGGAUACAAAUCAAUUGGUCAAGGUGUAUAAUAUUUUACAUACUGCUGAAUUCUAUUUGGUAAUAUUUUGUUAAGAAUUUUUGUGUCUAUAUUCAGGAGGGAUAUUGGUCUGUAGUGUUCUUUGUUUUACUGUGUUUGUCUGAUUUUGGUAGUAGGGAAAUACUAGUUUCAUAAAAUGAACUGGAAAGUAUUCCCUCUUCUUUUAUUUUCUAAAAGAGAUUGGGUAGAAUAGGCAUUAACUCUUCUUUGAAAGUUUUGUAGCAUUCUCUGGUAAAAUUAUCUGGGACUAGAGAUUUCUUUUUGGUGAUUUUUUUUAUUACAAGUUAAAUUCUGGGUGACUUGUGGUACUGCAUAUAUUUGAAUGCUAUUCCAUUUCAUCUACAUUGUCAAGUGUAUGUGUGAAUUCAAAUUAUUCAUGGUAUUCCUUUAUUAUUAAUUUGAUGUCUAAAGAGUGUGUGGUGGUAAUCUCCUGUGUUACUUCUGAUAGUGGUAAUUGUAUCUUCUCCUUUUUUAUUUGUUAGUCUUAUUAAAAGUUUGUCAAUUUUAUUGAUCUUUCCAAAGAACCAGCUCUUUCCGUGUUCUUUUAAUAGAGAUUUCUUUUAUUGAGUCUAUUGUGUUUCUAUUUUCAACUUUUUUGAUUCUUGCUCUUAUAUUUCCUUGCUUCUGUUUGUUUGGGUUUAUUUUGCUCAUCUUUUUCUAAGUUCUUGAAGUAGGGCCUUAAAUUAUUGAGACAUUUUCCCAUUUCUAAUGUAGUCCCUUAGAAGUUUGACAUUUUUAUUUAUUAUAAUUGGAUAACCUUUUAGUUUGUAAUUUUCUUUAUCAUUUUAGGCCCAGAAAGAUUUUUAUUGUUAGAGAUUAACUAAAUAUUCAAUCAGAUUAUUUUGAGUAGGUUUUUAAAAUUAAUUUUAUAUAAUAAAUUGUUUUAAAUUGCUAAUAUUAAUUUUAUUUUGGUGUAAUUUGUGAAUCUAUCUUCCUCAAAAUUUAACUAACCAAUUAUAAUUAAAUUAAAAUUUAGUAAAUAACAUUUUGUUGUACACUGUUUAGAAUCCUUACUUUAUCAUAAAUCAAAUACUUAACACAUGAUAAAUUAUUUUCAUGAAUUUUUUUGUGGCUCAUUGGUACGUAUGUGUGAUAAUAUUCUGAAGUUUUAAUUUUAAUUUUAAUAAGUUUACCUUUCAGCAUUCCUUUAGCUACCUAUUUAAUCCAUGGACUAUUUAGAAGUGUGGUUGUUUCCAAGUGUUUGGAGAUUUUUUUUUAAUCUUCCUGUUAUUGAUUUUUCAUUUGAUUCCAUUGUUCUCAAGAAUACUUUGUAUAUGAAUUUUCAUUAUUUUAAAUUUUUUGUUUUAUGGCCCAGGAUAUGAGUUAUCUUGGUAUACAUUUCAUGGUCACUUAGAAAGAAUAUAUACUCUGCUGCUAUUUGUUUUGGUGUUCUGGAAAUGUUGAUUAUACACUGCUAGUUAAUGAUGCUGUAUUUUUGUAUAUCCUUGUUGAUUUUUUGGCCUAGUUCUAACAACUGCUUAGAGAGAGAUAUUGAAGUCUCCAAAUAUAAUUUUGUAUUUGUCCAUUCAUCUUUUCAUUUCUGUAAGUGUGGGUUUCAUAUAUUUUUCAGCUCUGUUUUUUUUUGUGUGUGUGUGCAUACAGCUUAGAAUUGCUAUGUAUUUGUUGGUGGAAUGACCUCUUUCUUAAAUUAUAUAAUGUCCUCCCUACCUUUGGUAAUUUUCUGCAGUUUGUAUGGUUUGGCUGUGUCCUCACCCAAAUCUGAGCUUGAAUUGUAAUAAUCCCCAUGUGUCAAGGGCAGGGCCAGGUAGAGAUAAUUGAGUCAUGGGGGCAGUUUUCCCCAUACUGUUCUUGUGGUAGUAAAUAAGUCUCAAAAGACCUGAUGGUUUUACAAAUGGAAGUUCCCCUGCAGAAUCUCUCUCUUGCCUACUGCCAUGUAAGAUGUGACUUGCUCCUCCUCACCUUCCACCAUGGUUGUGAGGCCUCCCCAGCCAUGUAGAACUGUGAGUCAAUUAAGCCUCUUUCCUUUAUAAGUUACUCAGUCUUGUGCAUGUCUUUAUUAACAGCAUGAGAGAAGACUAAUACAGUGGUUUAAAGUCUACUUUAUCCAAUAUUAAUACUCUAGUUUCUUUUCAUUAAUGUUUACAGGAUGGAUCUCUUUGUUUCCUGCCUAUAUUGUAUAUUUUAAGUGAGUUUCCUUUAGACAGCAUAUAGUUAGGUCAUGUUUUUUAAUCCACUGAGCUUCUACUCUGUUUUAUAAUUUGUGUAUUUGGACCACUUACAUUUAAUGUAAUUAUUGAUAUGUUAGAGCUGGAGAUCCAAGGAACAACACAGUAGUGAGUUCCCAGGGUUUUAUUUUUGCCUCAUAUAUACCAGACUUGGAACUAAAGAAGCCAACAACUGAAAAUACUACAGGAGAUUUUAAAAAGAAAGGUGGGGAGUGAAGAAAAGAAAAGAAAAUAGCAAGAGCAAAAAACUCUCUCUCUAGUCAACAAGGAAAGGGCAAGCUCUUAUUUUUGCUGGUUUUGUCUAACAUCUGGCAGGUGAAGAAGGGAAGUUUAUUUCUUGUAGCUAUCAGGUGGGGUUAGAAGUUGGAGUUCCACUAGUGGGAGUAGGGUUUAGGUCCCCACUCAGCCUCUGCUGAUAACAAGGGGAAAGAGCUUAUUCUUGCUGUGAGGUAGGGGUAAGAUUUCUGACUCCAUGUAGGACCUUCAUUGAUCUCUCCCUGGCUAAGAGGGGUAGAAAUGCCUCAUUAUUAUCCCCAUGUGACUACCAGCCAUAUCACUACUGCUGGGGGGGUGAUGAGAAUCCUGACUCCUUCAUAUGUUUUCUCCUACAGCACCUCAAUAAAGAGGAGUAAGGAUGGCUCAUUACUGCUGACUGGGACUGAAAGUCCAGGCUCCCCUUCCCAUGGUCCCCACUGACACUACUGGGGGACAGCUACAUUGGUUACUAUCAAAUACGAUUAAAAUUCUGGUUUCCUACUUGGCCUUUCUGAUACCAAUUUGGUGGUGAUGGUGGAGGGAGUGGUAAAUUGGAAUGCCCCAUUAUAGCUAGGCAAGGAUGGAUAUCUAUGUUUACCAUGCAGCCGUUGCUAUCAUGAGUGGGGAUGGGGAAACAUUUUUGUUUUUCUCUUUGUUUUCCUUUUUUUUUUUUCCUCUAUGAUGUUAAGCUGAAGUAGUGUUUAUUUUCUAAAAGUUCUCUAUCUUGUUAGGUUGCCUUUUCCUUGUCCUUUGAUUAGAGAGUAGUUUUUGUUGUUUUUCUCUUUUCUCUUCUCUAUCUCUCUCUUUCUCUUUCUUUUUAUCUUCUCCUGUGGUGUUUUUAAGCUGUUGACUUCUUAAGCACCAAGUCCGGUAUUUAUGAGGCAAAAAGAAAACCCAGGGAACUCACUAUUCUGUUGUUCCUUUGAUCCUCAGUCUCAGAUGGCCUGGCUUCUUCCCUUCACCUUUCAUAGUUUUCUUAUGUUUGUUUUAUGUAUAAUGUACAGGGUUUUUAGUUGUACCUAGAAAAGAAACAGGAAAAAUAUAUCUACUCCAUCUUCUUAGAAACAGAAGCCUGAAAGUACCUAAGACUUUUUAGAAUCUAUAAAGUAUAACAUUUUAAUAUAAAAUUUUUAAACUUUUAGGAAAGAGCUAAAUGCAUAUUUUAUUAGUGUAUUAAUUCAAUGUUACUUAAGAAGACAAAUCUGCCACAGAAUUACCUAAUCACUGAUGAAAUAACCAUGGAUCUUAUUCAGUAAUGUCUUCUUUACUUUGAUUUGGAAAUGACCCAAUGAAAAAUUAACAUCAGGUCCGCCAUAGAAAUUGUCCAAAGGCUGCAAAGUUGGCUGAUUGAAGAAUCUCUAGGGGUAUCAUGUUUUUUCCAUUUCUCCACUUUCUUAAAAUUACACUAACAUUCCUAACUUGGUCCAAUAUGAUUUCAUUUGGGAGGAGUAUAACUGUAAAGAUAAAAAUUCCAGAGCUUUAUAUCUGGAGUUUUCAUGUUCUAUUUGCUAACAUGUUUUACAUUAUCUUUCUUUUUCCUUUUUUUCCUUACGUCCUAAUUGGACUCAUGUAAAAGUGAAAAUUCACUCAGCAUUGCUUACAUGAAGCCUCUAACUUGAUGAGAGAGCAAGUUGGUUAAAAAAAUAGAAGCUUAUUUGAGAAAUGAGGAGUUAGCAUUGUGCCUGUCGAGGCCUUCCUCCUGUCUAGCACAUGGACCAUCGUAAAUGGCCUUGCGCCUGGGUGAGUAUGCGGACAUUGGGCUAGAAGGAGCCCAUGAAAAGCAAAUUUUCCUCAGGUAUGAAUGCUACCUGUGAAUGUUUGUUCUUGGAAGGAGGCCUUUCUUUCUGCUCGGAGGCCAGUGCCCAACUUUCGGCCUGUGGGAAGGGCUACUUCCAAGGCCACACUCAGCCCUACUGAGAUAGUUCCACUUCAUCAGCAGUGGAACAAUGAUAUCUAAUUAUCUGCCCAUUUGUACGCCUAUUUCCACUCACUUACCAUAAAGAAACUACAUUUAGUAAUAAAAUAGCUCAUUCUUAACCAGGGCAAAGAAGAUAUUUCAAUAACUCCUUUAGGAAAAUAAAUAGUAGUUCAAGGUAAGUUCAAUCUUAGUAAGUUUUAGAUGGGUCAGAAGAUAAAAUAGUUUGGGUAUAUCAUAUAUAUAUAUAUAGAGAGAGAGCAAUUAUAUAUUUUAUACAUAUAGUGAUUUUAUAUAUAUAUAUAUAUAAUAGUUUGAAGAUAUACAUACACACACACACACACUCACACACACAAAUAAACAUCCUUCAGUCUGCCAUAUCACAUAUAUGCAAUAUCAUCCGAUAAGCAACCUAACCAUCUAAAUAUUUUUUAAGGGCACUUUCCUGAAGAUAGCUAACCACUGUCUAUGUUAAUUUUCCUUCUUGCACAAUGCUUCAAAUGUUUGUUUAAGUUGCAGCCACUUUAGUAUGCACAGCAGAUUUUUCAAAACAGUGAGCUCUUACAGUUUUUUUCGAUGUGCUCAGUAUGCUUGUGGGAAUCAUUCAUAUUUAAAUAUUCCCCAUUGAGAAAUCAGCUCCUAUGGACGUAAACUUUGGGACAUCAUUUUGAUUUCUUUACCUUCUGUGUUGCUCUGUGAAGAACUACAAUAGGAAACAGAAGAAAACACAAUAUUGGUAUAGGUUAUACAAGUUAUUAUUUAAACUCCUUUGACUUCUAACUAGAAUGCCUUAGUUUCUAGUCAUGUGACAUUACCAGAUAUUACUUUUGUGUGAAGUUUAUUUGCAAAAGUAUCACAACAGAGAGAAGACAGGAAAUUUGGAUUUUGCUUUAGAUAUUUUAGUUCUGUACAUAUUUCAAAAAAGCUGUACAUGAAAUAUAUGCUAUUAAAAUGGGAAUAUGUGAGUAAGUAAGGAUUGACAACUUUUGAAAAACUAUAAAGGAAGAGAGAGGGGAGGAAAAAGACUAAUCAAAAACAACUCUUUCCUUUUCCCCAAACUACCUUUCUAAGAAGAAACCAUUAUGCCAGGUUAAUUGGUCAUUGGGUGUGAGAAUUCAAUGACUCUCUCUCUCUCUCUCUCUUCUUUUUUUUUUUUACUCUGUCUCCCAGGCUGGAGUGCAGUGGUGCAAUCUCGGCUGACUGCAACCUCCACCUCCCUGGUUCAAGCAAUUCUUCUGCCUCAGCCUCCCGAGUAGCUGGGACUACAGGCGCCUGCCCAAGAGUGAUGAACUGUGCAUCAGGAACUCAGCAUGAGUAUAAACAUCACCCUCUUUUUUAUGCAGUUUUUACUCAGGUUUUAUUUAAUGCACUGUUUCAACUUUGUAGCUAUCACUUUAGUCAGGCACUUAGAUUCUCUGUUAUGUGAGUAUUUAUAUUGCUGGACUGCAACUCAGAGAAAUUGAUAUCUGUUCUUGUCAGUGGACAUUUUGGAAAAUAAGUGCAUGACCAAUGGUGGUGAUUAUUAUUACAGUAUAUAACUAAUUGAAUUGUUGUUGAUCAUUUUUCUUGAUACAAGUUAUAAAAUGUUAACAUCCACUUAACAAAACAUUUCUUCACUCCUGGGAAGGAAAAUAGAAAUGUGCUCUCCUUGCACGUAAAGAUAACAGAGUCCAUUGCCCAUUACAAGUUCAAAUUCACAUCUAGUUCCAGUGUCUCGCCAGGAAAAGGCAGGUGGAGAUGAAAGACUUGAAUGAAACAAACAAAAAAAAGCCAGCCUGUUAUGUGGCACAUUGAAGCAAGCCUCUGGUUUCCUUGCCUUAAAAUAAUUUCUCACUUUGCAGAAUUGAAUAUCACAUUAUAAUUAACCAUCAGGCGAUUUACAACUGCUUGUAGAUAAUGAAAUAGCAUAUUAAUGUAAUCAAAUUAUACAAAACUUUUUUCUUUUUCAAAACUGCUUUCAUAUGCAUAAUCUCAUUUGUUCCUUACAGUAUCAUAAAAUAUAGGGAAAUGUUAUUUUUCUCAUUUUUCAAAGGAACUUGAUGUUCUCAGAAUUGAUUGAUCAGAUAAGAAAACACAGUGUCAGUCUGGAAACCAGGCCUUCUGAUUCCUAUACCUUGUCUAGUCUCCUAAUCAACAGAUUAACUCUCAUUAAUUCCAAAAUAAAAUCGCUUAAGGCUGAGUUCCUGAAAAUAGAGCAGAAGACAGAAAUUAUUUUGCAAAUGAUUUACUGAGGGAGUGAUCUCAGUAGAAACAUCUAGGAUUGUGAAGAAUGCAAGACAGAGUAGAGGAUGAAAUCAGCCAAAGAAGAGGGCUCAAGAGAAGUUUGGCCUCAACCUGAUCACACAGGAGGCUCCAGAAUAUGAAUUGCUCCAGAGAUUUUCCCACCCAGAAGUGAGAGAGCUGUUGUAAGGACUCUCUCCCCUUCACUUAGUCAUUAGUUCUGAACACCCCUGAGAGUGGAGUGGGGUGCGCCUCCCAGGCAGAGACAGAUGAGGUGGCUCCCAGAGUCAGGUAAGGACAACACUCGAAGAGGGGUGCAGCUGAGAACAGCAGCUGGGACAGGUGCUUCAUAUCGCUAAAGGCACCUCAACAGAAUCUGCUACUGAUAAAUAAUUUUAAUUUUCUUUUGAGCUGUUUAAUUUUUAAUCUUAUUGUGAAUAAUUUCAAGUACAUACCAAAGUAGAAAGAAUAGCACAGAGAACUCUAGUACACACACGCCUAUUAUCAGUAAGAAUCAACACGUGGCCAACUUUGUUCUGUCUGUGAGUGUUGAGUUCUUAGAUAACAGAGCUUGUCAUUCUCUGUAUGAUAGGAACACCAACAUACAUAGCAUAAUUUAAAUAAUUAUUUUAAUUGAAAUAUUCUAGUUAAGAAACAGUUUAGAAUACUAGAGAGAGACUUGGAUUUAUGAUAUAAUGCUAUGAUCCUUUGUAGCUUAAAACACAUUGUAAUUUUCUACUAAAUGUAAUAUAGAAUAAACAGUUUAUGUUAUCAAAUGCAUUCAGCAGUUUUGUACUAGUUCUCUAGCGAUUGUUUACCCCAGACAGAUCCCAAAGUGCAAUUUUUAUAAGAGCGGUCUUCAGACCAUUACAAAACAAAUGGAUAAGCCAGUUGGAAUCCUAAGGCAAAAGAACUUGAUGGAUUCCUGUUACUCAUAAGGUUUUUUUAUUUUAUUUGAGUCUUGCUUUGUCACCCAGGCUGGAAUGCAAUGGCACAAUCUCGGCUUACUGCAACCUCAGC